rnacentral:rRNA from 1 species
AACGAACGCUGGCGGCAGGCUUAACACAUGCAAGUCGAACGGGUGCAGCAAUGCAUCAGUGGCAGACGGGUGAGUAACACGUGGGAACCUUCCUAGGGGUACGGCACAACUCAGGGAAACUUGAGCUAAUACCGUAUACGUCCGUGAGGAGAAAGAGUUAUCGCUCUUAGACGGGCCCGCGGCGGAUUAGCUAGUUGGUGGGGUAACGGCCUACCAAGGCGACGAUCCGUAGCUGAUCUUAGAGGAUGAUCAGCCACACUGGGACUGAGACACGGCCAGACUCCUACGGGAGGCAGCAGUGGGGAAUCUUGGACAAUGGGCGCAAGCCUGAUCCAGCCAUGCCGCGUGAGUGAAGAAGGUCUUCGGAUUGUAAAGCUCUUUUGCCAGGGACGAUAAUGACGGUACCUGGAGAAUAAGCCCCGGCAAACUUCGUGCCAGCCGCCGCAGUAAAAC